rnacentral:rRNA from 1 species
AAAUUGAAGAGUUUGAUCAUGGCUCAGAUUGAACGCUGGCGGCAGGCCUAACACAUGCAAGUCGAGCGGAAACGACAUUAUUGAUUCUUCGGAAGAKUUAAUGGGCGUCGAGCGGCGGACGGGUGAGUAAUGCCUAGGAAAUUGCCUUGAUGUGGGGGAUAACCAUUGGAAACGAUGGCUAAUACCGCAUAAUGCCUACGGGCCAAAGAGGGGGAUCUUCGGACCUCUCGCGUCAAGAUAUGCCUAGGUGGGAUUAGCUAGUUGGUGAGGUAAUGGCUCACCAAGGCGACGAUCCCUAGCUGGUCUGAGAGGAUGAUCAGCCACACUGGAACUGAGACACGGUCCAGACUCCUACGGGAGGCAGCAGUGGGGAAUAUUGCACAAUGGGCGAAAGC